rnacentral:rRNA from 1 species
AGAGUUUGAUCCUGGCUCAGGAUGAACGCUAGCUACAGGCUUAACACAUGCAAGUCGAGGGGCAGCAUCAUCAAAGCUUGCUUUGAUGGAUGGCGACCGGCGCACGGGUGAGUAACACGUAUCCAACCUGCCGACAACACUGGGAUAGCCUUUCGAAAGAAAGAUUAAUACCGGAUGGCAUAAUUAUUCCGCAUGGGAUAAUUAUUAAAGAAUUUCGGUUGUCGAUGGGGAUGCGUUCCAUUAGGCAGUUGGCGGGGUAACGGCCCACCAAACCUACGAUGGAUAGGGGUUCUGAGAGGAAGGUCCCCCACAUUGGAACUGAGACACGGUCCAAACUCCUACGGGAGGCAGCAGUGAGGAAUAUUGGUCAAUGGACGAGAGUCUGAACCAGCCAAGUAGCGUGAAGGAUGACUGCCCUAUGGGUUGUAAACUUCUUUUAUACGGGAAUAAAGUGAGCCACGUGUGGCUUUUUGUAUGUACCGUAUGAAUAAGGAUCGGCUAACUCCGUGCCAGCAGCCGCGGUAAUACGGAGGAUUCGAGCGUUAUCCGGAUUUAUUGGGUUUAAAGGGAGCGUAGGCGGGUUGUUAAGUCAGUUGUGAAAGUUUGCGGCUCAACCGUAAAAUUGCAGUUGAUACUGGCGACCUUGAGUGCAACAGAGGUAGGCGGAAUUCGUGGUGUAGCGGUGAAAUGCUUAGAUAUCACGAAGAACUCCGAUUGCGAAGGCAGCUUACUGGAUUGUAACUGACGCUGAUGCUCGAAAGUGUGGGUAUCAAACAGGAUUAGAUACCCUGGUAGUCCACACAGUAAACGAUGAAUACUCGCUGUUGGCGAUAUACAGUCAGCGGCCAAGCGAAAGCAUUAAGUAUUCCACCUGGGGAGUACGCCGGCAACGGUGAAACUCAAAGGAAUUGACGGGGGCCCGCACAAGCGGAGGAACAUGUGGUUUAA